rfam:Cavia porcellus supercont2_6 genomic scaffold, whole genome shotgun sequence.
GGGGAUUUAGCUUAGCGGUAUAAGCAUUUGCCUGACAAGUAUGAGGUCGUGAGUUCAAUCCCCG